rnacentral:rRNA from 1 species
GACGAACGCUGGCGGCGUGCCUAAUACAUGCAAGUCGUGCGGACCUUGUUGAAAGCUUGCUUUUAAAAGGUUAGCGGCGGACGGGUGAGUAACACGUGGGCAACCUGCCUGUAAGACUGGGAUACCGCCGGGAAACCGGGGCUAAUACCAGAUCGUUUUUUCCUCCGCAUGGAGGAAAAAGGAAAGGCGGCUUCGGCUGCCACUUACAGAUGGGCCCGCGGCGCAUUAGCUAGUUGGCGGGGUAAUGGCCCACCAAGGCAACGAUGCGUAGCCGACCUGAGAGGGUGAUCGGCCACAUUGGGACUGAGACACGGCCCAAACUCCUACGGGAGGCAGCAGUAGGGAAUCUUCCGCAAUGGACGAAAGUCUGACGGAGCAACGCCGCGUGAGUGAAGAAGGCCUUCGGGUCGUAAAACUCUGUUGCCGGGGAAGAACAAGUGCCGUUCGAACAGGGCGGCGCCUUGACGGUACCCGGCCAGAAAGCCACGGCUAACUACGUG